rnacentral:lncRNA from 1 species
AAAAUCCAGACCAGUAACUCUCAUGUAUGUGCACAAGGAAACACAGGCCAGGGUGUUAUGUGAAGAAUUAUUUGUAAUGCAAAAUUAGGAAUAACAUAAGUGUCCAUCUUUAAACCAUGAUAUAUUUUAUACUCUGAAAACCUGGAAACUAUUAAAAAGAAUGAAGUAUGUACUGACAUAAACCCCUAAGACAUCUUGGUAAAUGAAAAAUGUAAUUUGCAGUAUAUAGAUACAAUAUGGUAUCACUCAAGCAUAAACCAAAACCAAAACAAAACCUUGAAAUAAUAAUAUAUAUUUAUAUAUGUUUAUAACAUAUUUCUAAAUGUAUGAAAAUGCAUAGAAAAAGGUCUAGAUUCACUAAAUUACCUUGGUUAUCUCUGGUGAAGCUAAGAUUAGGUGUUGAGAUUGAAGGAGACUGUCAGGUUUAAACUUUUUCAGUGAAUCCUUACAGCAACCCAGAGAGAUUGGUUCUAUUAUUUUUCCCAUCGUUUGCAGGAGGAAUCAAGGUUCAGAGAGGUUAAGUAACUUGCCUAAGGUCACACAGCUGGACAGCUGAUAGUUGCACAGACAGGGUUUGAACUCAGCCAAUCUGGCUCCAAAGUCUGGAAAUCUAAAUACUGUGUUAUGAGAGGAAGCACUGGAAGGUUGGUGAUCUGUUGUAACCCUUGAAGACUGCACAGUACUCAGAAACAUUGGCAUGCCAUUUAAGGCCCCUUAGGAUCUGGUCCUAGCUACGCUGCUAUUCCAUCCUGCCUCCUACUAUGAUCCACUUCUGAAACAGGCCAUAAACAUGCCCCAGCUGGUCUGCACAGCGUUUCCUCUGCCCAGGUAGGACUUCCCCAUUUCUCUGUCUGAAACAUCUCUUUACCCACUGACAACCUCUGAAAAGCCAUUUCAACAUCUCAAGGCUGAGUUGAG